rnacentral:rRNA from 1 species
AUGAAGAUUCUUGGAUUGUCGAACUGUGCUGACACCAUAAUAGGGGAUGAGCUCCGAAGAGGGAUUUCUGGGGGGCAAAAGAAGAGAACCACAUUAGGAGAGAUGCUAGUUGGUCGUGCAAGGUGCUUCUUUAUGGAUGACAUAUCAACAGGCCUGGAUAGCUCUACCACAUUUGAGAUUAUGACAUUUCUUGGACAAAUGGCACAUCUCAUGGAUCUUACAAUGGUUAUCUCCUUGUUACAACCAUCUCCAGAGAUAUUAGAAUUGUUUGAUGACAUAAUCCUUCUCUGUGAGGGUGAUAUUGUUUACCAUGGCGCUCGACAAAAUGUUAUUGACCUUUUCAACAACAUUGGAUUUACCUGCCCUAGCAGGAAGAAUGUAGCUGACUUCCUUCAAGAGGUAAAUCAUGAUACAUUUCAUAACUGGUUAUAA